UUGCUUUGGCAGCACAUAUGCUAAAAUUAGAAUGAUACAGAAAGAUUAGCAUGGCUCCUGCUCAAGGAUGACACACAAAUUUGUGAAGCAUUCCAUAUUUUU